rnacentral:tRNA from 1 species
GCGCCCGUAGCUCAGCUGGAUAGAGCACCGGCCUUCGAAGCCGGGUGUCGUAGGUUCGAAUCCUACCGGGCGCACCA